CCUACGGGAGGCAGCAGUCGAGAAUCAUUCACAAUGGGGGAAACUCUGAUGGUGCGACGCCGCGUGGGGGAAUGAAGGUCUUCGGAUUGUAAACCUCUGUCAUGUGGGAGCAAAUUAAAAAGAUAGUACCACAAGAGGAAGAGACGGCUAACUCUGUGCCAGCAGCCGCGGUAAUACAGAGGUCUCAAGCGUUGUUCGGAAUCACUGGGCGUAAAGCGUGCGUAGGCUGUUUCGUAAGUCGUGUGUGAAAGGCGCGGGCUCAACCCGCGGACGGCACAUGAUACUGCGAGACUAGAGUAAUGGAGGGGGAACCGGAAUUCUCGGUGUAGCAGUGAAAUGCGUAGAUAUCGAGAGGAACACUCGUGGCGAAGGCGGGUUCCUGGACAUUAACUGACGCUGAGGCACGAAGGCCAGGGGAGCGAAAGGGAUUAGAUACCCGAGUAGUC
rnacentral:rRNA from 1 species